rnacentral:rRNA from 1 species
CCUACUGGGUGCAGCAGUGGGGAAUAUUGGGCAAUGGGCGCAAGCCUGACCCAGCAACGCCGCGUGAAGGAAGAAUGCUUUCGGGUUGUAAACUUCUUUUGUCAGGGACGAAGCAAGUGACGGUACCUGAGGAAUAAGCCACGGCUAACUACGUGCCAGCAGCCGCGGUAAUACGUAGGCGGCAAGCGUUAUCCGGAUUUACUGGGUGUAAAGGGCGCGUAGGCGGGGACGCGAGUCAGAUGUGAAAACCACGGGCUCAACCUGUGGCCUGCAUUUGAAACUGUGUUUCUUGAGUACUGGAGAGGCAGACGGAAGUCCUGGUGUAGCGGGGAAAUGCGUAGAUAUUAGGAGGAACACCAGUGGCGAAGGCGGUCUGCUGGACAGCAACUGACGCUGAGGCGCGAAAGCGUGGGGAGCAAACAGGAUUAGAUACCCUGGUAGUC